UCAAGCAUGUAAGAGCGUAGGGUGGAUGCCUUGGCACUAAGAGCCGAUGAAAGACGUGAUAAGCUGCGAUAAGCUUCGGGGAGGAGCAAAUAUCCUUUGAUCCGGAGAUCUCUGAAUGGGGAAACCCGGCUGUAUGGACUACAGUCAUCCAUAAGUGAAUCCAUAGCUUAUGGAAGGGAACCCGGGGAACUGAAACAUCUAAGUACCCGGAGGAAGAGAAAGAAACAUUCGAUUCCGUAAGUAGCGGCGAGCGAACGCGGAAGAGCCCAAACCGUGAUGCGUGCAUCGCGGGGUUCGGACUGCAUAAGGGAUUCAGUAACGGCAGGAGAACGGCUUUGGAACAGCCGGCCAGAGAGGGUGAGAGCCCCGUAUCCGAAGCCAGAGCUGACCCGGCAGGAUCCAGAGUACCACGGGACACGGGAAACCCUGUGGGAACGAGCGGAGACCACUCCGUAAGGCUAAAUACUACUCAGUGACCGAUAGCGUAUAGUACUGUGAAGGAAAGGUGAAAAGAACCCCGGGAGGGGAGUGAAAGAGAACCUGAAACCCUGUGUCUACAAGCUGUGGAAGUACUUCUCAGGUACGACCGCGUACUUUUUGUAGAACGGUCCGGCGAGCUGCGGGUACUGGCAAGGUUAAGCACCUAAGGUGCGGAGCCGUAGGGAAACCAAGUCUUAAGAGGGCGUUUUAGUCAGUACGUGCAGGCCCGAAACCGGGUGACCUAUCCAUGUCCAGGUUGAAGCCGCCGUAAAAGGCGAUGGAGGACCGAACCCACAUCCGUUGAAAAGGGUGGGGAUGAGGUGUGGAUAGCGGAGAAAUUCCAAUCGAACCCGGAGAUAGCUGGUUCUCCUCGAAAUAGCUUUAGGGCUAGCCUCAUACAAGUCUGCCGGAGGUAGAGCACUGAAUUUCCGCGGGGGCGUCAAAGCCUACCAAAGAAUAUCAAACUCCGAAUGCCGGACAGAUGGUGUAUGGGAGUCAGACUGUACGAGAUAAGUUGGACAGUCAAAAGGGAAAGAGCCCAGACCGCCGGCUAAGGUCCCAAAGUGGGUGUUAAGUGGAAAAGGAUGUGGGAUCUCUAAGACAACCAGGAUGUUGGCUCAGAAGCAGCCAUUCAUUAAAAGAGUGCGUAACAGCUCACUGGUCGAGAGGUCCUGCGCCGAAAAUGUCCGGGGCUGAAACACCACACCGAAGCCGCGGAACCCGUAAGGGUUGGUAGAGGAGCAUUCUUAGGGGAGUGAAGCAUUACCGGAAGGGGAUGUGGACCGCUAAGAAGAGAGAAUGCCGGAAUGAGUAGCGAGAGCAAGGUGAGAAUCCUUGCGGCCGAAUAUCCAAGGUUUCCAGAGUAAAGCUGAUCUGCUCUGGGUAAGUCGGGGCCUAAGGAGAGGCAGAGAUGCGUAUCCGAUGGACAGCAGGUUUAAGAUUCCUGCACCCCUUGUUAUCAGAACUGCGGGGACACGGGAAGGGAAGCAGAGCCGGGAAUGGAAAGCCCGGUGCAAGCGAAGUAGUCGCAGGGUUGGAAAAUCCGCCCUGCAUAAGACGAAGGCGUGAUGCGGAGCGAAAUGAAGUAGUGAAGCUGCGGCCCCUUCCUGUCGAGAAAAGCCGCUAUCGUGUAGCAAGGGCCCGUACCGUAAACCGACACAGGUGGAUGAGGAGAGGAUCCUAAGGCCGGCGGGAGAAGUGUUGUUAAGGAACUCGGCAAAAUGACUCCGUAACUUCGGGAGAAGGAGUGCUGCGCAAGCAGCCGCAGAGAAAUGGCCCAAGCAACUGUUUAGCAAAAACACAGGUCUAUGCGAAACCGGAAGGUGAGGUAUAUGGGCUGACGCCUGCCCGGUGCUGGAAGGUUAAGGGGAGAGCUUAGCGCGAGCGAAGGUUUGAACUUAAGCCCCAGUAAACGGCGGCCGUAACUAUAACGGUCCUAAGGUAGCGAAAUUCCUUGUCGGGUAAGUU
rnacentral:rRNA from 1 species